rnacentral:rRNA from 1 species
GACGAACGCUGGCGGCGUGCCUAAUACAUGCAAGUAGAACGCUGAAGGAGGAGCUUGCUCUUCUGGAUGAGUUGCGAACGGGUGAGUAACGCGUAGGUAACCUGCCUGGUAGCGGGGGAUAACUAUUGGAAACGAUAGCUAAUACCGCAUAACAGUAGAUGUUGCAUGACAUUUACUUAAAAGGUGCAAUUGCAUCACUACCAGAUGGGCCUGCGUUGUAUUAGCUAGUUGGUGGGGUAACGGCUCACCAAGGCGACGAUACAUAGCCGACCUGAGAGGGUGAUCGGCCACACUGGGACUGAGACACGGCCCAGACUCCUACGGGAGGCAGCAGUAGGGAAUCUUCGGCAAUGGACGGAAGUCUGACCGAGCAACGCCGCGUGAGUGAAGAAGGUUUUCGGAUCGUAAAGCUCUGUUGUAAGAGAAGAACGAGUGUGAGAGUGGAAAGUUCACACUGUGACGGUAUCUUACCAGAAAGGGACGGCUAACUACGUG